GGUUGGGAUCCCGCUAACAUGUUUUAACCCGCCACAUUUGUAUGUAUGUGCUUGUCCCAAGUCAGGAGCCUGUAAUUCAGGGGUUGUCGUUUUUUUAUAUGCUACAUAUUUGUGUUUCGUUCAUUUUUGCUACAUAAAUUAGGCCGUUAGUUUUCUCAUUUGAAAUGUUUUUCAUUGUCAUUUCGGGGCCUUUUAUGGCAUGACUAUGCGGUAUGAGCUUUGCUUAUUUUUGAAGGCCGUACGGUGACCUAUUGUGGUUAAUUUCUGUGGCAUUUGGUCUCUUGUGGAGAGUUGUCUCAUUGGCAAACAUACCACAUCAUCUUUUUUUAUUAUUAUUAUAUGUUGUAUAGAGAAUCAUUGCAAGGUCUAUCUUUACAUGUUUUAGACAGGGCCUGGCCUCAUUUCAUUAACCAUCUGGUCAACGGUAGAUUUUAUUGUUUAUAUUUUUAAGUUUGAUUACAUGUAACUAGAAACAACAUGCAAACGGUCAGUUAUCUGUUCCUUUCCAUACAGCAGGGGAUAUUUGAAAUUGACCCCUCUCACUUUCAUCGGCUAGCGUCAAGUUUUAUAGAACCGUAUGUCUGUUUUACAUUACAUUAGCAGUAAGUCAGCUGUGUCUGAUGUAUGGAAUGAUUGUAAGGUGGUCAUGUACAUCUGGUAGGUACAUUUGACCAGGAAUCAUUUUAUGUUUCACCUUUGUCGCAAAGGCUAUCUGCAUAAAUUUCAAUCAUAUCAGUAAAGUAGGCGUAUCUUUUCAGCAUUUGCACACUUGUGAGUUUUUACUGCAUCUUGUUUUUUUUAUUAGUUAUUUCACACGUG
rnacentral:lncRNA from 1 species